rnacentral:rRNA from 1 species
GAUGAACGCUAGCGACAGGCCUAACACAUGCAAGUCGAGGGGCAGCAUGAAAGUAGCUUGCUACUUUUGAUGGCGACCGGCGCACGGGUGCGUAACAGGUGUGCAAUCUGUCCAUAAUCGGGGAAUAGCCCAGCGAAAGUUGGAUUAAUGCUCCAUGUGAGUUUUAGAGGCAUCUCUUUAAUUUGAAACGUAAGGAUUAUGGGUGAGCACGCUUCCGAUUAGGUAGUUGGUGAGGUAACGGCUCACCAAGCCGACGAUCAGUAGGGGUUCUGAGAGGAAGGUCCCCCACAUUGGAACUGAGACACGGUCCAAACUCCUACGGGAGGCAGCAGUGAGGAAUAUUGGUCAAUGGACGCAAGUCUGAACCAGCCAAGUCGCGUGAAGGAUGAAGGUUCUAUGGAUUGUAAACUUCUUUUGUCUGAGGGUAAAAAAGCGGACGUGUCCGUUCUUGCAAGUAUCAGACGAAUAAGCAUCGGCUAACUCCGUGCCAGCAGCCGCAGUAAUAC